rnacentral:rRNA from 1 species
UACGAGGGGGGCAAGCGUUGUUCGGAAUUAUUGGGCGUAAAGGGCGCGUAGGCGGUGCGGUAAGUCACCUGUGAAAGCUCCGGGCUCAACUCGGAGCCUGCAGGCGAAACUGCCGUGCUGGAGUGUGGGAGAGGUGCGUGGAAUUCCCGGUGUAGCGGUGAAAUGCGCAGAUAUCGGGAAGAACACCCGUGGCGAAGGCGGCUCUCUGGGACGGUACUGACGCUGAGACGCGAAAGCGUGGGGAGCGAACAGG